AUUGAACGCUGGCGGCAGGCCUAACACAUGCAAGUCGAACGAGUGGCGGACGGGUGAGUAAUGUCUGGGAAACUGCCUGAUGGAAGGGGAUAAAUUCUGGAAACGGUAGCUAAUACCGCAUACCCUCGGAUGUGCCCAGAUGGGAUUAGCUAGUAGGUGGGGUAACGGCUCACCUAGGCGACGAUCCCUAGCUGGUCUGAGAGGAUGACCAGCCACACUGGAACUGAGACACGGUCCAGACCCCUACGGGAGGCAGCAGUGGGGAAUAUUGCACAAUGUGCGUAAGCCUGAUGCAGCCAUGCCGCGUGUAUGAAGAAGGCCUUCGGGUUGUAAAGUACUUUCAGCGGGGAGGCGUUACUCGCAGAAGAAGCACCGGCUAACUCCGUGCCAGCAGCCGCGGUAAUUC
rnacentral:rRNA from 1 species